CGGGGGGGGCAAGCGUUGUUCGGAAUUACUGGGCGUAAAGGGCUCGUAGGUGGCCAACUAAGUCAGACGUGAAAUCCCUCGGCUUAACCGGGGAACUGCGUCUGAUACUGGGUGGCUUGAGUAUGGGAGAGGGAUGCGGAAUUCCAGGUGUAGCGGUGAAAUGCGUAGAUAUCUGGAGGAACACCGGUGGCGAAGGCGGCAUCCUGGACCAUUACUGACGCUGAGGAGCGAAAGCCAGGGGAGCAAACGGGAUUAGAUACCCCGGUAGUCCUGGCCCUAAACGAUGAAUGCUUGGUGUGGCGGGUAUCGAUCCCUGCCGUGCCGAAGCUAACGCAUUAAGCAUUCCGCCUGGGGAGUACGGUCGCAAGGCUG
rnacentral:rRNA from 1 species